rnacentral:rRNA from 1 species
CGCCAGGAGCACAGCUGGGUAGCUAAGUCGGGAAUGGAUAAACGCUGAAAGCAUCUAAGCGUGAAGCCAACCUCAAGAUGAGAUUUCCCAUAGCGUAAGCUAGUAAGAUCCCUUGAAGAACACAAGGUUGAUAGGUCGGGGGUGUAAGCAUGGUAACAUGUUCAGCUGACCGAUACUAAUAGAUCGAGGGCUUGACCAA